AAACCAAACGAAUAAAUAGAAAUAACCCAUGGAUAACACGUGAUGUCAUUCAUGCGAAGCGCAAAGUGAAGCGACUAAGGAAAUUGCUCAAAACAAAAAAAAAUCCUCAACAUAAACGUAAACUCACGUGUGCCAUCAAUGAAAUGAAAGCAAAGAUUAGUACAGCGAAAGCACAUUACUUUUCAGUUACGCUUCCUAACUUUUUAAAACAUUCCCCUGGAAAAUUAUGGAAGUAUCUUAGCCCCAAAAAACAAAGCAACACUCUCAAUUCUCAGGAACAAAAUUUAAAUUUUGCCAAUUCCUUAAAUACCAACUUCCAGUCUGUGUUCACUGCUUACGAUGGUCGCAUUCCGGAGGUGAAUCGCUACAAUCAGAGACUGCCAGACAUGCCAACGAUAACUGAUUCAGGAGUGCUCAACUUAUUACUAUCAAUAGACACAGAAAAAGGAAACAGCCCGGACAACAUUCCCAAGACUUUUCUUCAAAGAUAUGCCGAACUCAACGCGACAUAUCUACAUAUAAUAUUUAACAAAUCCUUAUCAACAUGUAGCCUUGCAAAAGAAUGGAAAAUAGCGAAAGUAAUCGCCGUUCAUAAAGCAGGAAGCACAAGUGCUGUCGGUAAUUAGAGACCAAUAUCGCUAACGUCCUUAGUAGGAAAAUCAUUACAGCAUAACAUACUAAAGCAUAUCACGAACUAUCUAGAGCAAGCACAAAUAUUAUCGGAUAUCCAACAUGGUUUCCGGCGGAGACUUUCAACCAUAACCUAAUUACUUGAAUUAACGCAUGACUUAUCCCAAAGCAUUGAUAAUAAAAAACAAGUUGACUUAAUAGCAUUAGAUUUUCCGAAGGCCUUUGAUAGAGUAACCCGUCAAAAACUUUAGGCAACGGUUCUAUUGUCAAUUGGAUGGAAGAUUACUUAACCAACCGGUUUCAGUAUGUUGUUAACAAUUAAAUUUCUUCCAUUGCAACAGUUACAUCGGGGGUGACCCAAGGGUGCGUUCUUGCUCCCACUUUAUUCCUUAUUUUUAUUAAUGAUUUGCCCUCUAACAUCGAAAUUAAUAUUAAACUUUCUGCCGACGACUGCAUUCUUCAUAAUGAAAUUAAUUCUAUGAAUGAUCUCCUUGAUAUAAACAGUGCCCUUCAUGAUGUGAUGUGGUGUAAAAAGUGGCAGAUGGAACUGAACUUUAAAAAAAAAGUGCAUUUUUAUCUAUAACCCACAAAAUACAUAGGUCGGAGUUCGAAUAGACUAUCGAUAGCAUACAACUCACCCGAGUUCAUGAGCAUAAAUGUCUUGGCUUGAUCAUUUCACAUGACCUAAGAUGGGAAUCGCAUGUUAACAGUAUAACACUAUCUGCUUUAAAACGGCUGUUCUUCCUCAGAAGAAGACUUCGAGCUGCGCCACCGGAAAUUAAACUGCUAUCAUACAACGGAUUUAUUCGCCCAGUUCUCGAAUAUGGUAACACAAUUUGGUUUCCUUAUACACAAGAGCUUAUUAACAAACUGGAAGGAGUGCAGCCAAAGGCAAUUAGAUUCAUCUUUAAGAAAUACAAGAAUAGUGGUUCACCUACCCAACUGCUAAAACAAGCUUGUAUUCCUACUCUGCGAAAACGCGCCAAACUAGCAAGACUAAAAUUAUUGUUCCAAUUAACACACUAUGCAUUACGAAUAAAUAUUUCUUUGUAUAUACCCCUAGAUGACACCAGACCUUCCUGCCAUAAGCAUUCUCUCACUUAAAGAAUACGCAUUUCGCCUUACUGUUUUAGAUAUUCGUUGUUUCCUCUUGCAAUAAGAGAAUGGAAUAGUCUGGAUCCCUCCAUAACGACUAACACAUCGUUGCCGAAAUUUGUAACCGAUGUAGAAGAACUGUUGCGCAAUAAUUAGGUUAUGCUAGCCGGAAAUAACACGCCACUCACGUCGUUGUAUAAUAUAAAAUCUGUAUAAGCACUGUAUUUGCCUAUGCAAUUUCAUCCCUUUUGCCAAAUGCACUGUAUCAUUCUUGUUUUAUUUCCUGCCAUAUGUGUAUAUCUGCUUCGUGUCCUUUGCAAAUAUCCUUGUUGAGAUUAUGUAAACCUGUUUUUAUCGCUAUUUGUGCGUAUAUAAUAAAUGCCCAACCUGUAAAAAUCCCACUGGGAUUGACAGUGUCUGCAAUAAAUAAAACAAAUUAAUAAAAAAAGCGAUACAGAGGGGGUGCUUACACCCUUUCUGCCUUAUUUCUUUAUGUGGAACUCUUUCAAUCUGACGCGCGUCGUCGUGUCGGCACUCUUACCGAUAAUCUUUGUCUCUCCCAAUCGAGCCUCUCAACCUCUACAUUUAAUUACGUGCGCGAAGAAAUGUGCGUACUGGUCCUUUAAAUCACUUAAAUUUCGGGCAUGUUCCCCCAAGCGUUCAUUAAUGCAGCGGCCGGUUUGGCCGACCUAAACCUUUCCACACUUCAAGAGAAUGACGUAGACCAUACCUGUGGAACACUUUACGAAUGGCUUGUCAUGUUUUAACUGAUAACCUCUGUUUAUUUAGAGUUGCAAAUGCGUGGGCAUAACUGUGCCAGCUUGUUGGGUACCGAAAAAACAAUGGACACCUCUAUCCUGUUGGCGAUCUUCUUGAGAUUGUGCGAACUCUUGUGCAGAAGCACCUGGGAAGGCACUGUGUUCCGAAGGCGCGCAUAGAGGAAGUCGUGCAACAGAUGUGCGACUCGGGCCCCUACCACCUGACCGCCAACAAUUGCCAAAAGUGGGUCAAGGAGCUGCUAGGUCGGCUGGACAUACAGAUGCCCUCGGACGAGCACGACGCCCAAGCCGUGGUCGAUGGGGUCGUCCCGCCGGCCGUCGGCGCCUCGCUGAUUGGCGGCGGGAUAGCAUUCUCGUCCUGAGCCGCCGGGAGCUAGAACGCCCCUGGCCAGCAGAUCGCGGAGGUGGCUAGUGUCUCGUCGGCAUACUGCUUGGACUUUUUAAUCGGAAAGAAAAAUCACGGCAUGAAAUUAUAGGCGUACACAUAAGCUGAUGAAAUCGCUUGUCCACGGAUAUAGGCCCAAUUUUGGCGCCAUGUGGCCAUGAUACGCCGCAAGACUAAGCAAGAUCACAGAAAAAAAAAUAAAAAAAAAAGAAUCGCUGUGCAAACGUCAAUGCAAGCUGGGGUAGAUUUUAAAAAUUGGUAGAGGGAUUUAUAAUCAUACGUGUGACAUUGUACCGUGAUGAAAAAGAAAGUGAAUAUAAUUGGUAUCUGAUAAGUAUGCAGAGAAGAUAUAUUGUUUUUAAAUAUCGGUGUGCCUGCCUCGUUCUUGGAAAAAAAUUGCUUCAGGUCUGAUGUUUACUUUAGGAAUUCAGCUUUUGUCCUCAGGACAUUUUGGCUCUGUGUACGAGAAGUAGAUAUUGCUGUAUGAUUGGAGCACUGACUACGCUUCGAGGACUACUGACGUGAUAUUUUCAAAAAGUAAUUUAUUUUUCGUUAUAUGAACGUUCUGGACUUCUACACUAUUGAAAAAAUAUUGAGAAGCUUCAGAGCGCCGUAAACACCAUAUUAUUGCAGCUUUUUCUACAAAGUUUCGGUUUCGUUUCGCGGGAGGAUACUGUGCUGUGACGCCAUGACGCGAUCACGUGGGAGCAGGACAUCGCGAUGUUUUGACACUCGCUGCGUUUCGCUCGGUCGCCUCGCAUGAUGGUACUCAUGGUGAGUGCCGAUGUGGGCAGCAUAGCUACGGCCGAGCACCUGAGGACAAAACUAUACCGGAGCAAAUAUGAGUCACAGGAUGCGGCACGUGGGUCCUGCAAAAAAGAACCCGGAAAGGGAUAUUCACCCAGCAAGACCCGUAGGGAAGGCACAGCUUCCAGAAGAGUUCGGAUUCAAUAAAGAUGGAAGAAUUAACUGGUCAGCAGUCGAGAUAAGUCGUUCAGAGCAUGAUGUUUAUUAAGACGUUUAAAGUAUUGGUGGGGAAGAAGACAGGAAAGAGACUGCAUAGAUACGGAGUCAUGGCAACCGUGGUUAACUGGACAGUACAGUGACAGAAGUUUUAAAUGCGAAAAGUUAAAAUCGAGAUCAGAUAGGCAAUAGGCUACAUGGUGAGAGAUGUAGUAAAACCUGAUUAAAUGAAGCAGGCUUGGUGACUUUUUGUUCCGCCCUUUCAAAGCGGAUGCCAGUUAACAUCACCAUCAUCACUGCGAAACGUACCCAUGUGAGAGGACGUUUUCCCAAAUGAGGUACGUGUAAGGUCCCGAUAUGUUUAGGGUCAACACACAAAUGCUAAAAAUUAAAACUAAAAUGUGCGUCCACAAGUGUUUGUAAGAUACGGUGAAACACACUUCGUGCAAAGCCUACACGUGGACAUUACUAUUAGCACUGUUUCCUCGUUUGUUUAAAAGGGUAAGUACGGAGAACCAAGUUAACAAAGAUUUAUUUAUUUAUUUAUUUAUUUAUUUAUUUAUUUAUUUAUUUAUUACAAAUACCUACAGCGCCCGAGUUGAGCUUAUCAUGGGGGGGGGGGGGGGUUAAUUACAAACAUAAAGGUCAAAAAUUGAACUUCACAAAAAACAGCAUGAUAUUAGUUAUGGUAUUAAAAUACAAUCAUCGUAGUUAGAGACCCAGACAACACAUUCUAAACCUAGCACAUUUGUUGUUGCUGUUUAUGUGGGUUGUUUAUAAAGUGCUAAGGAUACCCCCCAACGAGGAUCUGUAUAAAUAUAUUUAUCGCGUGAUUUGUGAGCAUGUUGUCAUCGGUUUGCCAAUGUUUAUAAUAAUGACCUAAUAGUUGUAGUGAUUUCUGAAACGGCAACACAGUGGAGCCCUGAGAUUCUCAGGAAAUUCGUGUUCCAGUCCCGCGCUGCUGAUGCCCAUUGUAUGAAGCACGACAGCCAUUGAGCUGUGUAGUGAAGUGGUGGUAAGAAACUAUGCCGAGCGUGGUUCAGGCGGCCAACUGAAUGUUCGUAAUAUGUCGCUUAAAACAGGAAUCAGAGUGGGAUAAGGACGGAAAUGAAACUCCAAGAAACAGGCCUGUCUAAUGUUUUUUUUUCUUCUUACAUGGAGCACUUGAUAGCGAAAAUUAGGGCGGAACGUGAAUAAAAACCCUAAUUCUGACA